UAUACCGUAAUAAGUAUUAUU
rnacentral:piRNA from 1 species